GACGAACGCUGGCGGCGUGGAUUAGGCAUGCAAGUCGAACGGUAUGGACCUUUCGGGGUUCAGAGAGUGGCGAACGGGUGAGUAACACGUAGGUAAUCUACCCUCAAGACGGGGACAACCCAGGGAAACUUGGGCUAAUACCGGAUGUGUGUAGUGGCUAUUUUUCUGAUUAUCAUUAUUUACGUAAGUGAGUAAUAAUAAGAAGGGAAAGUGGUUAUUACAUAAAAGGUGGCGUAAGCUGCCGCUUGGGGAUGAGCCUGCGUCCUAUUAGUUAGUUGGUGAGGUAACGGCUUACCAAGGCGAUGAUAGGUAGGCGGCCUUAACGGGUGGUCGCCCACACUGGGAUUGAGAUACGGCCCAGACUCCUACGGGAGGCAGCAGUCGAGAAUAGUCUACAAUGGACGGAAGUCUGAUAGUGCGACGCCGCGUGAACGAAGAAUCCCUUCGGGGUGUAAAGUUCUUUAUACGUGAGCAGUGUCCUUUAUAUUAAUAGUAUAAGGGGAGAGAUAUUAGCGUAUGAAUAAGCAACGG
rnacentral:rRNA from 1 species